GCUUAAAAUAUUUCAGCUAACUAUGUUUUAGUUUCGUAAUUUUUGUCUCUAGAAGACCAAUUUAAUAAUAACUGUUAAUCAAGUUUACCCUCUUCACAUUUCUUUACCAUAUUGUAGAUGAAUAUGUAUGUAUAGUUAUUACUUUGAUAAUUGAUUAAAAUUAGAUAAUUAAGUGCUAAGUGCUUCAUAAUAUAAAUAAAUUU
rnacentral:lncRNA from 1 species